UUGACACAUUACAUUUCUUCACGGAGACAGCACAGUAAGGCUGAAAGGCACACAGAGAAAACGAUGUAGCUCCUGAUUCAGAAUAAAAGGUUCCUCAUCUGUGAGAUUGGGAGAAUGAUGGUGCAUACCGAAUAGCAAUGUGACUAAAGAAUUAUUUGGCCUGAAUCAGAGUCAAGGAUGGAAGGAAGAUGGAAGAAGGUUAUGAACAAAGCCAUCUAAGGACUCAUGCUGUACACAAAGACCCUGAGACACCAAAAGGGAAGGAGUAGAACCAAGGAGCUUCUCGCAAAGAGGAAUUACUUUUAUUUACCACAGCAACAGAAGCAAACUGAACUUUUUGCUAAGACACUGGAUAUAAACAUAUGCAUUCAGAAAGCAGCUUGACAAAGUGACAAUUUCAAUAAACAACAGCCUUAUUCUACCA
rnacentral:lncRNA from 1 species